rnacentral:rRNA from 1 species
CGCGUAGGUGGUAGUGUAAGUCUGGGGUGGAAUCCCAGGGCUUAACCCUGGAACUGCCUUGGAAACUGCAUUACUUGAGUCAGUGAGGGGAGGGUAGAAUUCCUGGUGUAGCGGUGAAAUGCGUAGAUAUCAGGAGGAAGGCCUGUGGCGAAGGCGGCCCUCUGGCGCUGGACUGACACUGAGGCGCGAAAGCGUGGGGAGCAAACAGGAUUAGAUACCCUGGUAGUCCACGCCCUAAACGGUGGGCACUAGGUGUAGGGCUCGUAAGGGUUCUGUGCCGAAGGGAAACCAUUAAGUGCCCCGCCUGGAGAGUACGGCCGCAAGGUUGAA